UUUUGCACUAUUGUGCUGCAUUUCAGGGACGCUAGUGCAGUGUGGCUUGGCAUUGUAAUUCUAGAAAAUGAUUUCUCUCGUUAUUUUCAAGCACACAUGGACUGCACCAAGUGGUUGGAUGCCAUUUUAUUUCACCCAACUGCGCAUGCUCAGAAAGCUAAGUAUUUUAAUGGAGAGUUGCGGGAGGCUGAGGCUGGAUAGUCCCUAACCCAGACAUGCCAGAGCCUUUUACAAUUACUGAUUGAUCUGUGAUGAGAGUAAGGUGAUGUGCGUGCCUAAAGACACGGCUAUCUACUGACACCAAUCGCUUCAAGGCCUUAGUUGAGUAUCCACUGCACUGAGUUCUGUGUUUAUAAUUCGUGUACUUCAUUUUACUUGAAUCUCUUCAAAUAAGGAGGUAUUGCCACAGUGAAAUAAAAUGGUGGAUAUGAAACAAGGAGUCAGGAGCUUAUUGCCAGCAAAAUAAGAUUGUACUCCUGUCCAGCAGCAGCAUAUGGAUAAAGCUUAAAGCCUGUGACUGUUUCUACAACUAUACUACAGUUCCUCCUUCCCACCUCCAUGUGUCUCCCUUUCUCUCUGUCCCUCUCUAUCUUACACUGAAGCUCCAUCAAUAAACCUAGGCCUCCUGUAAUGAAUACAAGAUUUCAAACUCUUGUCAAAUUAUAUUUCUGUUAAAUAUAGAUUUAAUCUUAUUUUUAACAAAUAUUGUUUAUUUUUCUUAUUUUCAAUAGUAUACGAUUCAACUGC